GACGAACGCUGGCGGCGUGCCUAAUACAUGCAAGUCGAACGAGUGGCGGACGGGUGAGUAAUGUCUGGGAAACUGCCUGAUGGAGGGGGAUAACUACUGGAAACGGUAGCUAAUACCGCAUACCAUCAGAUGUGCCCAGAUGGGAUUAGCUAGUAGGUGGGGUAACGGCUCACCUAGGCGACGAUACCUAGCUGGGCUGAGAGGAUGACAAGCCAAACUGGAACUGAGACACGGUCCAGACUCCGUAGGGAGGCAGCAGUGGGGAAUAUUGGACAAUGGGGGCAAGCCUGAUGCAGCCAUGCGGCGUGUGUGAAGAAGGCCUUCGGGUUGGAAAGCACGUUCAGCGGGGAGGCGUUACCCGCAGAAGAAGCACCGGCUAACUCCGUGCCAGCAGCGGCGGUAAUAC
rnacentral:rRNA from 1 species